rfam:Parcubacteria (Wolfebacteria) bacterium GW2011_GWA2_42_10 TT85_C0002, whole genome shotgun sequence.
CGGGCUGUAGUAUACCGGCAGUAUACGUGUUUUGGGAACACGAGGACUGGGUUCAAUUCCCAGCAGCCCGA